rnacentral:rRNA from 1 species
UUGGAGGGCAAGUCUGGUGCCAGCAGCCGCGGUAAUUCCAGCUCCAAUAGCGUAUAUUAAAGUUGUUGCAGUUAAAAAGCUCGUAGUUGAACUUCGGGGUUUACCCAUUGGUCAGGCUUAAUUGUCUGUACUGGUGAGAUGAAUCUCUACCUUCUGAGGAACUUUCAUGCCAUUUAUUUGGUGUGAUGGGAAAUCAGGACUGUUACUUUGGAAAAAUUAGAGUGUUUAAAGCGGGCUAACGUCUGAAUACAUUAGCAUGGAAUAAUGAAAUAGGACGGACUGAUUCUAUUUCGUUGGUUUCUAGGAUCACCGUAAUGAUUAAUAGGGAUAGUUGGGGGCAUUAGUAUUCAAUUGUCAGAGGUGAAAUUCUUGGAUUUAUUGAAGACUAACUACUGCGAAAGCAUUUGCCAAGGAUGUUUUCAUUAAUCAAGAACGAAAGUUAGGGGAUCGAAGACGAUCAAAUACCGUCGUAGUCUUAACCAUAAACUAUGCCGACUAGGGAUCGGACGAAGUUAAUUUUAUAAUGACGCGUUCGGCGCCUUACGGGAAAC